UCUAGGUGUGGUGCUCCCCUCAUUAAGCAGCCUGGCGACAGGAGCGCAGAGUGUGUGUUUUCACACUGAUGCUCUGACACAGCAGCAGCCACUUCUUCACUUCCCUCUCCUCUUUGUUGUUCUGCUCUUCCUCUCUCCUCUUCCUCUCUCCUCUUCUGUUCUAUUUGCUCCCCUGCCAUGCUGCAAUGUGUUUUGUGUUGUGGGGAAGGCAGUGUGUUGGUGUGUAGGUGAGACUAGGAGCUGAUCUGUGUCUCUGUUGGUAUGGUUUGUUCACAGUGACAUCAUAGACAGCAUCAUCACUGGUUAACUCUAGACUAGUAGGAUUGCUUUAGUGAAACCCUGUUUUAUUGUCAGGUGCAAAACCAUAAUAACUAAGCUAAGCUAUCUAAUAGUUGGCCCGGUGUAUGAGUUUUAGCUCCUUGUACUGUAUGCUGGGACAUGUGUGAAUAGGUUUGUGCUCAUUGUACUGUAUGCUGGGACCUGUGUGAAUAGGUUUGUGCUCAUUGUACUGUAUGCUGGGACCUGUGUGAAUAGGUUUGUGCUCAUUGUACUGUAUGCUGGGACCUGUGUGAAUAGGUUUGUGCUCAGAAAACAGAGUGAAUAGACAUGGGUGAGAGAGCAAAAGGAGGAAUGAAAGUGUGGAGGAGAGUGAGAAACAUAGAGAAAGUGAGAGCAGGCAACAGGUGCUUGUGGGUAUUCCUGUGGAAGUGCUAAUUCGAUAAUGCUGUGGCCACUUUAUUGACCAGCCAGAGCGGUAUGGAUCUUAGGCCAGGGAUUGUGCUAGAAUGAGAUUGUGAAAACUCCAGCAGCAGGCUGU